rnacentral:tmRNA from 1 species
GGGGAUGAAUUGACUCGACGUAAAGGGCUCUUUAAAAACUGCAGGCCGACUUCGGUUAAAAGUCGUAAAACAGGACCAAAAAACCAAAUGUCAGCAAUUUAGUUGACAAGGCGAGGGGUUUUGUAGGUACGCUCGCGCGUGCUUUCAGUCCCGUCGCUCCGGCUUACGCUCUAGCAUAAAACACUUUGACGUAAGUAGGCAUCUAUAAGGCUUUCUCCUGAUGGGGUCUUGUAGGUGAAAACUCAGUCAGGAUGAGGAAAUUUGAGGAGUCAGUAUCAAAUUUUCAAAUAUUUUAGCUGGCUAGCCUUUAGUUUUCCCGUCGGGCGGAUAAGUUGAAGGCGAAAUUCUAAAGCGCGACUAAGCUUGUAGAAGUUUUAAAGUUUUCUUUGCGGACUCCGGUUCACUGCCGGACAUCUCCACUC